UUGAUGGAGAGAUAUCAAGUUUCCGAUGAAGGCCGUCUUAAGGCAGCACUGGGUACCAGAGGGUUAAUUUUAGUCUUUGGGUUACGUUUAAUUCCAUAACCUUUGAACCACAUUGUUACCGCGGCUGAAUAUUGAACUUCGAAAGCGAAUAAAAGACUCCCAGCGAUGAGUGACUAGACGUCUAUACGUCAGCAUCACUGAGAUAUUUGUUUACCGCCUAGUUGAGCGAACGUAGGAACUGGCGCUAUAUCAAGUAAAUCGAUUUAAGUAAAGGAGAUUCAGCGAGAUAUAUAUGAAGAAUUAUUACUCGAGACCUAAAAAUCUGGAACCUGGAAAUAAAUUGUUAUAUUUGUAACCAAAGUGCCCCCAAGGAAACCGCGUGUAAUCUACUGCAAGAUACUGCGGCGAUAGUUACGAUAGUGAAGAAUAUAGCCUAAAGCGAUUCGUAAGCGAGGAAGGAAAAUUAAAAGUAAAAUUGUUAACCUAAUUAAUGAAAUACAUUAUAGUUUCAGCUGUCAC